rnacentral:lncRNA from 1 species
UUUAUUUUCAAUUUGGAAGAGGAGAUGAACGCGUUUAAUGAAGUUUUAGAAGGAUCAUGACAAAAGUGUUGGAGGAAUGUCCAACAACGAUAUUCUAUGAACUGCUUCAAUCGGAUUUCACCCUCUCUCAGUCCCUAUAUGUUGGAGUAUUUGGAUGAUAAAUGAACUCUUUGUGGUAAAAUGUAGUAAACUAUAGGGCUAUGUAAUUUUGUACUCAAGUUUGUAAUUAUCAUCAAAGUAUAAGAGUGUCUUAAGAUAUUUUUGCCUAUGAUGCUAAAGUAACUUCUGUACGUUGUGUUGAGCAUGGGCCAUGCCCUUCUAGUACAUAUAUAUAUAU